UACGUAGGGUGCAAGCGUUGUCCGGAAUUAUUGGGCGUAAAGAGCUCGUAGGCGGUCUGUCGCGUCUGGUGUGAAAACUCAAGGCUUAACCUUGGGCCUGCAUCGGGUACGGGCAGACUAGAGUGCGGUAGGGGAGACUGGAAUUCCUGGUGUAGCGGUGAAAUGCGCAGAUAUCAGGAGGAACACCGGUGGCGAAGGCGGGUCUCCGGGCCGUAACUGACGCUGAGGAGCGAAAGCAUGGGGAGCGAACAGG
rnacentral:rRNA from 1 species